CUUCUCUACGCCCACCACUCAGCAGUUCACUGACCCAGAGCCUGAGGGCCACAACUGCUAUGAGGGCUGGGAGGAGGACCUGCUGCCUGAGGAGAGGGAGGUUCCUCUGCUAAACCUCUACCUUACCACCAAGAGAGUGGAGGACAUCGCCCUGAGGCUCGUCUCCCUGCGCCAGGCCUUCACUACCCUGCUUGGUUCCACCCUGAGCAGGAACCAUCUGUUUGUGGCGGGAAAGGUCCUCCUGGGCGCCCUGGUUCAGGC